rnacentral:rRNA from 1 species
UUUCAUGAGAGUUUGAUCCUGGCUCAGGACGAACGCUGGCGGCGUGCCUAAUACAUGCAAGUCGAGCGAACCGACGAAGUGCUUGCACUUCUGACGUUAGCGGCGGACGGGUGAGUAACACGUAAGGAACCUACCGAUAAGCGGGGGACAACAUCCGGAAACGGGUGCUAAUACCGCAUAGGAAAGGCCACCACAUGGUGGCCUUUGGAAAGACGGCUUUGCUGUCACUUAUCGAUGGCCUUGCGGUGCAUUAGCUCGUUGGUGGGGUAACGGCCUACCAAGGCAAUGAUGCAUAGCCGACCUGAGAGGGUAAUCGGCCACAUUGGGACUGAGACACGGCCCAAACUCCUACGGGAGGCAGCAGUAGGGAAUCUUCCGCAAUGGGCGCAAGCCUGACGGAGCAACGCCGCGUGAGUGAAGAAGGUUUUCGGAUCGUAAAGCUCUGUUGUAAGAGAAGAACAAAUUGGAGAGUAACUGCUCCAGUCUUGACGGUAUCUUACCAGAAAGCCACGGCUAACUACGUGCCAGCAGCCGCGGUAAUACGUAGGUGGCAAGCGUUGUCCGGAUUUAUUGGGCGUAAAGGGGGCGCAGGCGGUUUCUUAAGUCUGAUGUGAAAGCCCACGGCUUAACCGUGGAAGUGCAUUGGAAACUGGGAAACUUGAGUACAGAAGAGGAAAGUGGAACUCCAUGUGUAGCGGUGGAAUGCGUAGAUAUAUGGAAGAACACCAGUGGCGAAGGCGACUUUCUGGUCUGUCACUGACGCUGAGGCCCGAAAGCGUGGG